rnacentral:rRNA from 1 species
AUGCACGCUGGCGGCGUGCCUCAUACCUGCAAGUCGAGCGAACGGACGAGAAGCUUGCUUCUCUGAUGUUAGCGGCGGACGGGUGAGUAACACGUGGAUAACCUACCUAUAAGACUGGGAUAACUUCGGGAAACCGGAGCUAAUACCGGAUAAUAUUUUGAACCGCAUGGUUCAAAAGUGAAAGACGGUCUUGCUGUCACUUAUAGAUGGAUCCGCGCUGCAUUAGCUAGUUGGUAAGGUAACGGCUUACCAAGGCAACGAUGCAUAGCCGACCUGAGAGGGUGAUCGGCCACACUGGAACUGAGACACGGUCCAGACUCCUACGGGAGGCAGCAAUAGGGAAUCUUCCGCAAUGGGCGAAAGCCUGACGGAGCAACGCCGCGUGAGUGAUGAAGGUCUUCGGAUCGUAAAACUCUGUUAUUAGGGAAGAACAUAUGUGUAAGUAACUGUGCACAUCUUGACGGUACCUAAUCAGAAAGCCACGGCUAACUACGUG